rnacentral:rRNA from 1 species
GAUGAACGCUGGCGGCGUGCCUAAUACAUGCAAGUCGAGCGAACAGAUAAGGAGCUUGCUCCUUUGACGUUAGCGUCGGACGGGUGAGUAACACGUGGGUAACCUACCUAUAAGACUGGGAUAACUUCGGGAAACCGGAGCUAAUACCGGAUAACAUUUGGAACCGCAUGGUUCUAAAGUUAAAGAUGGUUUUGCUAUCACUUAUAGAUGGACCCGCGCCGUAUUAGCUAGUUGGUAAGGUAACGGCUUACCACGGCAACGAUAGGUAGCCGACCUGAGAGGGUGAUCGGCCACACUGGAACUGAGACACGGUCCAGACUCCUACGGGAGGCAGAAGUAGGGAAUCUUACGCAAUGGGCGAAAGCCUGACGGAGCAACGCCGCGUGAGUGAUGAAGGGGUUCGGCUCGUAAAACUCUGUUAUUAGGGAAGAAGAAAUGUGUAAGUAACUGUGCACGUCUUGACGGUACCUAAUCAGAAAGCCACGGCUAACUACGUG